rnacentral:lncRNA from 1 species
GGUGUUGCAAGUAUGUUGUUGAUUAUAUAUAAGUUUGUGAAAGGAUUUUAACUCGAUUUGAAGAAGUUCAUCUUACACUUUUAUGAGCAAAACCUAUAUUUGGAGUACAAAAAAUUAUUAUUGUUGGACAUUUGUAUGGAUUUUAUGGGAAGAAAUUGGAUCCAAGUAAAGUUGAUGCAAUUAGAAGGAUGAAGGAUAUA